AAGAGUACUACAAUACGAGUCUUGGGUCCAGUUUCCCUAUUAUACAGGUCUUUAUAUGCAACAAACAGCCAUCUUGGGUCUACUCACCGCCGGGUCAUGCAGCAGGAUGGCUUGACGUCUGGCCGUCUUGGCGUAGGGGUUCAGCUUCAUCAUUAUUCUCAGGUUCUUCAGAGGGUUCUUCU